CGCGAGGCGGGCAGGGCGAGCCGGCGAGUGCCGACGGCGGGGACAGGCGUGGGCGCAGGCCGCUCAGCCGACGGCGGGACGAGAGUGGGCGCGGGCGGGUCACGGGGGACGCGCAGGCCUCGCGCGGAGGCGGAGCCGGCACUGCCGCCUGCCGCCUGCGUCCCGAGCGCGCAGCCUCGCGCUGCCUCCCUCCCCGGGGACGGUCCGAGCGCACGAUGGCUGAGGAGAAAUACCUGCCGGAGCUGAUGGCCGAGAAGGACAGCCUGGACCCCUCGUUCGUGCACGCCUCGCGCCUGCUGGCCGAAGAAAUUGAAAAAUUUCAAGGUUCUGAUGGAAAAAAGGAAGAUGAAGAAAAGAAAUAUCUUGAUGUCAUCAGCAACAAAAACAUAAAGCUCUCAGAAAGAGUACUGAUUCCUGUCAAACAAUACCCAAAGUUCAAUUUCGUGGGGAAAUUGCUCGGACCAAGAGGAAACUCCUUGAAGAGGCUACAGGAAGAAACAGGUGCUAAAAUGUCAAUCCUGGGCAAAGGAUCAAUGAGAGACAAAGCAAAGGAAGAAGAGCUAAGGAAGAGUGGGGAAGCCAAAUAUGCACACUUGAGUGAUGAACUUCAUGUUCUAAUUGAAGUGUUCGCUCCACCUGGGGAAGCUUACUCACGUAUGAGUCACGCAUUGGAAGAGAUUAAAAAGUUCCUGGUGCCUGACUACAAUGAUGAAAUUCGUCAGGAGCAACUACGUGAAUUAUCUUACUUAAAUGGCUCAGAGGACUCUGGUCGAGGCAGAGGGAUCAGAGGCAGAGGGAUCAGAGUAGCUCCCACGGCCCCUUCAAGGGGUCGCGGGGGUGCCAUUCCUCUUCCCCCACCUCCUGGACGAGGUGUCCUCACCCCUCGAGGAACCACUGUGACGCGUGGAGCCCUGCCAGUGCCCCCUAUAGCAAGAGGUGUCCCGACCCCUCGAGCUCGGGGGGCACCAACAGUGCCAGGAUACAGAGCACCCCCUCCUCCUGCCCAUGAGGCUUAUGAAGAAUAUGGCUAUGACGAUGGCUAUGGAGAGGAGUAUGAGGAACAGACCUACCAGGCUUACGACCACAGCUAUGCACCACAAACGCAGAGUGUGCCUGAAUACUAUGAGUACGGUCAUGGAGUAAAUGAGGAUGCCUAUGACAGCUACGCAACGGAAGAAUGGGCCACAACUCGCUCCAGCUUGAAGGCACCGCCCCCCAGGUCAACGAGAGGGGGAUACAGGGAACACCCCUAUGGUAGAUAUUGAAGGUCCUCCUCACCCGUGACUGCACCUAAAGAGAGUGCAUAGCCUGUGGUCUCCACGUAAACAGCAACGAGACAAUGCUAAAUAUCACCGCCCUUGAAGGCAGUUUAGAGGGCUGAUAUUUCUUUUGAGACUAUCAGACUUGAUGGCUGAUGAUUAUUAAGGAAAUAUGUCGCAGGACUCAAAGGAUGACUAAACGUUAAACAGGUACUCACAAGCAAACAACACAUAAUGGAAUAGCAGAUGUAAUGGGCUCAGAAGGAUAGAGAUAUUUAAAGAAGUUAAUUUGAGCUGAGAUUUACAAAACAUGGUGCCAUAGAAGAAAUAAGAUUUCAAAGGAAGUUCAUAUGUGGACAGAGAACUACUGAAGGAAGGAUAAGGCCGCGCGGGAACAGGAGAGCUUCGCAGCUAAGCUGGAGGAAUCCCGGAGACCACAGCGCCUGCAGGGGCCAAGCACGCUGCGAGACUUUGCGUGCAUAGACCCUCAUUUUUCAGCAGCCUUAUCAGCAGAAAAUCCUAACUGAUUUUCAUUAGCAAAAGAUUCUCAAUGGCAACCUAAUUCCCAAGGUCAUCAAAGAAAAUACACAUUGAAUAUAACAUAGCUUUAUUGAUCCACGGGUCGUGAGUCCACAGCAAAAUGCCAUAUGCUUCUGAGUUCAGUGGCACUAAGACGACGGCCAAGGAAAGUGGCACAGAGCAAGGUACUUUCCGCCAAUGAAUUCUGUUCAUCUGAGAAGAUGUUGGAAUCUCCAGUAGUUGGAACUAGGCCUUCACCAAAAAAGCAGUCAAUCAUUCUUGUGCUUUUGCUCUGCCUAUUGGAAGUGUUCAUUUGGCUCCAGCUGCAGCCAACUUUGAUGGCCAAUGAUCUUCAGUUACCAGACCCUACCAUAUGUCUGUAACAUUGUUAAAUAAACAAGUGUUUAAAAUAAGAA